UUUGGUUAAGUUAGAAAGGGCGCACGGUGGAUGCCUUGACACUAGGAGUCGAUGAAGGACGGGACUAACGCCGAUAUGCUUCGGGGAGCUGUAAGUAAGCUUUGAUCCGAAGAUUUCCGAAUGGGGAAACCCACCAUACGUAAUGGUAUGGUAUCCUUACCUGAAUACAUAGGGUAAGGAAGACAGACCCAGGGAACUGAAACAUCUAAGUACCUGGAGGAAGAGAAAGCAAAUGCGAUUUCCUGAGUAGCGGCGAGCGAAACGGAACAUAGCCCAAACCAAGAGGCUUGCCUCUUGGGGUUGUAGGACAUUCUGUACGGAGUUACAAAGGAACGAGGUAGACGAAGCGACCUGGAAAGGUCCGUCGUAGAGGGUAACAACCCCGUAGUCGAAACUUCGUUCUCUCUUGAAUGUAUCCUGAGUACGGCGGAACACGUGAAAUUCCGUCGGAAUCUGGGAGGACCAUCUCCCAAGGCUAAAUACUCCCUAGUGAUCGAUAGUGAACCAGUACCGUGAGGGAAAGGUGAAAAGCACCCCGGAAGGGGAGUGAAAGAGAUCCUGAAACCGUGUGCCUACAAAUAGUCAGAGCCCGUUAACGGGUGAUGGCGUGCCUUUUGUAGAAUGAACCGGCGAGUUACGAUCCCGUGCGAGGUUAAGCUGAAGAGGCGGAGCCGCAGCGAAAGCGAGUCUGAAUAGGGCGUUUAGUACGUGGUCGUAGACCCGAAACCAGGUGAUCUACCCAUGUCCAGGGUGAAGUUCAGGUAACACUGAAUGGAGGCCCGAACCCACGCACGUUGAAAAGUGCGGGGAUGAGGUGUGGGUAGCGGAGAAAUUCCAAUCGAACCUGGAGAUAGCUGGUUCUCCCCGAAAUAGCUUUAGGGCUAGCCUUAAGUGUAAGAGUCUUGGAGGUAGAGCACUGAUUGGACUAGGGGUCCUCAUCGGAUUACCGAAUUCAGUCAAACUCCGAAUGCCAAUGACUUAUCCUUAGGAGUCAGACUGCGAGUGAUAAGAUCCGUAGUCAAAAGGGAAACAGCCCAGACCGCCAGCUAAGGUCCCAAAGUGUGUAUUAAGUGGAAAAGGAUGUGGAGUUGCUUAGACAACUAGGAUGUUGGCUUAGAAGCAGCCACCAUUUAAAGAGUGCGUAAUAGCUCACUAGUCGAGUGACUCUGCGCCGAAAAUGUACCGGGGCUAAAUACACCACCGAAGCUGCGGAUUGAUACCAAUGGUAUCAGUGGUAGGGGAGCGUUCUAAGGACAGUGAAGUCAGACCGGAAGGACUGGUGGAGUGCUUAGAAGUGAGAAUGCCGGUAUGAGUAGCGAAAGACGGGUGAGAAUCCCGUCCACCGAAUGCCUAAGGUUUCCUGAGGAAGGCUCGUCCGCUCAGGGUUAGUCAGGACCUAAGCCGAGGCCGACAGGCGUAGGCGAUGGACAACAGGUUGAUAUUCCUGUACCACCUCUUUAUCGUUUGAGCAAUGGAGGGACGCAGAAGGAUAGAAGAAGCGUGCGAUUGGUUGUGCACGUCCAAGCAGUUAGGCUGAUAAGUAGGCAAAUCCGCUUAUCGUGAAGGCUGAGCUGUGAUGGGGAAGCUCCUUAUGGAGCGAAGUCUUUGAUUCCCCGCUGCCAAGAAAAGCUUCUAGCGAGAUAAAAGGUGCCUGUACCGCAAACCGACACAGGUAGGCGAGGAGAGAAUCCUAAGGUGUGCGAGAGAACUCUGGUUAAGGAACUCGGCAAAAUGACCCCGUAACUUCGGGAGAAGGGGUGCUUUCUUAACGGAAAGCCGCAGUGAAUAGGCCCAAGCGACUGUUUAGCAAAAACACAGCUCUCUGCGAAGCCGUAAGGCGAAGUAUAGGGGGUGACACCUGCCCGGUGCUGGAAGGUUAAGGAGAGGGGUUAGCGUAAGCGAAGCUCUGAACUGAAGCCCCAGUAAACGGCGGCCGUAACUAUAACGGUCCUAAGGUAGCGAAAUUCCUUGUCGGGUAAGUUCCGACCCGCACGAAAGGUGUAACGAUUUGGGCACUGUCUCAACCAGAGACUCGGUGAAAUUAUAGUACCUGUGAAGAUGCAGGUUACCCGCGACAGGACGGAAAGACCCCGUGGAGCUUUACUGUAGCCUGAUAUUGAAUUUUGGUACAGUUUGUACAGGAUAGGCGGGAGCCUUUGAAACCGGAGCGCUAGCUUCGGUGGAGGCGCUGGUGGGAUACCGCCCUGACUGUAUUGAAAUUCUAACCUACGGGUCUUAUCGACCCGGGAGACAGUGUCAGGUGGGCAGUUUGACUGGGGCGGUCGCCUCCUAAAGUGUAACGGAGGCGCCCAAAGGUUCCCUCAGAAUGGUUGGAAAUCAUUCGUAGAGUGCAAAGGCAUAAGGGAGCUUGACUGCGAGACCUACAAGUCGAGCAGGGACGAAAGUCGGGCUUAGUGAUCCGGUGGUUCCGCAUGGAAGGGCCAUCGCUCAACGGAUAAAAGCUACCCCGGGGAUAACAGGCUUAUCUCCCCCAAGAGUCCACAUCGACGGGGAGGUUUGGCACCUCGAUGUCGGCUCAUCGCAUCCUGGGGCUGUAGUCGGUCCCAAGGGUUGGGCUGUUCGCCCAUUAAAGCGGUACGCGAGCUGGGUUCAGAACGUCGUGAGACAGUUCGGUCCCUAUCCGUCGUGGGCGUAGGAAAUUUGAGAGGAGCUGUCCUUAGUACGAGAGGACCGGGAUGGACGCACCGCUGGUGUACCAGUUGUUCUGCCAAGGGCAUAGCUGGGUAGCUAUGUGCGGAAGGGAUAAGUGCUGAAAGCAUCUAAGCAUGAAGCCCCCCUCAAGAUGAGAUUUCCCAUAGCGUAAGCUAGUAAGAUCCCUGAAAGAUGAUCAGGUUGAUAGGUUCGAGGUGGAAGCAUGGUGACAUGUGGAGCUGACGAAUACUAAUAGAUCGAGGACUUAACCAUAUAA
rnacentral:rRNA from 1 species